rnacentral:misc_RNA from 1 species
AACUUGGUGCUCUUAUUGAUAGAGGAGAUUUUGAUGCCUGUGUGUCUGGUGGAGCAGCAAGAAAUGCUGUUAAAUGUUUCUCUCUCUCUAAUGGAGACAUAGUGCUACUUUUACAAGUUAAUAUUGGUGUUAAUUUUAUAAGAGAUCCUGUUAUUGAGAUUCUUCAAUUUGAGAAAAAUCAUGAGAGAAAUCUGUCUGCUGAGAACUGGGACAACUUAAAUGGGAAUUAUGACCCUUGUGGUGAAUUGUUAAAAUGGUUGCUUCCUUUGGAUAACACUCUUCCUCCUCCAGCUCGUGCUCUAUCUCCUCCUCAUUUAGGUUCUGGUUCAGAAAUUGGCGGGGCUUCUCAAAAGUCUGCCCCUUCUGGUUCUCAGCUCUUUUCUCAUUUUAGAAGUUACUCCAUGUCAUCAUUGCCUCAAAAUACUGCAUCAUCUCCUCAACCUAUUAAAACCCAAAGUUCUAAGCCCAGCUUUGACAUUGGAGACUGGAGCCAGUACUCAUCUCAGAGGUUAUGGAAAAAUCAAACAACAGGGGGCGAUGGUCUUCUAUCUUUCCGAGGUGUAUCAUUAGAGCGAGAGAGAUUUUCUGUUCGCUGUGGGUUGGAAGGAAUCUACAUUCCAGGAAGGCGGUGGUGGAGGAAACUUGAAAUAAUUCAACCAGUAGAAAUCCAUUCUUUUGCUGCUGACUGCAAUACAGAUGACCUUCUCUGUGUCCAGAUAAAGAAUGUUUCUCCAACAAGUAAUCCCGAUAUUGUGAUAUACAUAGAUGCUAUAACAAUUGUUAUUGAGGAGGCUUCAAAGCCUGGAUCACCUUCAUCAUUACCAAUUGCAUGCAUUGAAACUGGAAAUAACCACUGUUUACCAAAUCUAGCUCUCAGGAGGGGUGAAGAGCACUCUUUUAU